ensembl:misc_RNA Metazoa_SRP Metazoan signal recognition particle RNA
ACCACAGGGUAGUAUACAUCUAUAAUCCCGGACACCAGGGAGGCUAAGCCUGGAAAAUCUCUUGGGCUCCAGAGUCCUGAGGCUGUGCUCAUUGAGUGUCUACACUGAACUCAGCAUUAAUAUGGUGAGUUCCAGGGAGUGGGAAGCCACCAGGUUACCUAAGGAGGAGUGAAACAGCCCAAGUCAUAAACAGAACAGGUCAAGGCUCCCAUGCUGAUCAGUAACAGCACCAGGCCCUCGAGUAGUGCCUGUGCUUCCAGCUUGUGAGAGAUAGGGAGAUUCAGUCUGA